rnacentral:lncRNA from 1 species
UUUUUCGGCGCAUUCUUGCAACUUCUUUUGUUUGCCCUUCACCUCCACAAUUGCCACAUGACACCUUGUACUUCUUUGAGUUUAUUUGAUCAAAUUUCUUAUAUCUUUCCUUGUGAGGUCUUCCUGGCUGCCUUUUAUCUCCAGCUGGUGGCUUCAUUACAUCAUCCAAAAUAUGUUGUGGAACAUCCCAUUUUGCUUCAUCAGGAAGAGGAUUAACUGGCAAUUCAUAUGUAA